rnacentral:tRNA from 1 species
AUCUAUAUAAUAUAAAUUAAUUAUAUUUGAUUUCCAAUCAAAAAAUCUAUUUAAACCAUUAGUAUAGAUA